rnacentral:rRNA from 1 species
AAUCAACGCUGGCGGCGCGCUUAACACAUGCAAGUCGCACGAGAAAGCCCAGCAAUGGGUGAGUAAAGUGGCGUACGGGUGAGUAACACGUGGAUCAUCUACCCUUUAGUGGGGAAUAACCCUGGGAAACCGGGGCUAAUACCGCAUAAUCCUGGGAAGGGAAAGCAGCAAUGCGCUGAAGGAGGAGUCCGCGGCCGAUUAGCUAGUUGGUAGGGUAAAAGCCUACCAAGGCGAUGAUCGGUAGCCGGCCUGAGAGGGCACACGGCCACACUGGCAC